AACGUAGGAGACAAACGUUAUCCGGAGUUACUGGGCGUAAAGGGCGUGUAGGUGGUUAUGUAAGUCUGGCGUGAAAUUUUUCGGCUUAACCGGGAAAGGUCGUCGGAUACUGCACAACUAGAGGACGGUAGAGGCGUGUGGAAUUCCGGGGUGUAGUGGUGAAAUGCGUAGAGAUCCGGAGGAACACCAGUGGCGAAGCGACACGCUGGGCCGUACCUGACACUGAUGACGCGACAGCAUGGGGGAGCAAACAGGAUUAGAAGUACC
rnacentral:rRNA from 1 species